rnacentral:rRNA from 1 species
CCAGACUCCUACGGGAGGCAGCAGUGGGGAAUAUUGCACAAUGGGGGAAACCCUGAUGCAGCGACGCCGCGUGAGUGAAGAAGUAUUUCGGUAUGUAAAGCUCUAUCAGCAGGGAAGAAAAUGACGGUACCUGAUUAAGAAGCCCCGGCUAACUACGUGCCAGCAGCCGCGGUAAUACGUAGGGGGCAAGCGUUAUCCGGAUUUACUGGGUGUAAAGGGAGCGUAGACGGCAGCGCAAGUCUGAAGUGAAAUGCCGGGGCUUAACCCCGCGGAUUGCUUUUGGAACUGUCAGGCUGGAGUGCAGGAGGGGCAGGCGGAAUUCCUGGUGUAGCGGUGAAAUGCGUAGAUAUCAGGAGGAACACCGGUGGCGAAGGCGGCCUGCUGGACUGUAACUGACACUGAGGCUCGAAAGCGUGGGGAGCAAACAGGAUUAGAUACCCCGGUA